UUCACAGAAUCACAGAAUCACAGAAUGGCCUGGGUUGGAAGAGACCUCAAGGAUCAUGAAUCUCCAACCCCCCUGCCGGGCAGGGCCACCAAUCUCCCCAUUUACUAGACUAGGUUGCCCAGGGCCUCAUCCAACCUGGCCUUGAACACCUCCAGGGACAGGGCAUCCACAACCUCUCUGGGCAGCCUGUUCCAGCACCUCAGCACUCUCCUGGUAAAGAACUUCCCCCUAACAUCCAACCUAAAUCUUCCCUCUUUCAACUUAAAACCGUUCCCCCUUGUCCUGCUGUUACCUACCCUUUCAAAGAGUUUACUCCCUUCCUGUUUAUAGGCUCCCUUCAGGUACUGAAAGGCUGCA
ensembl:lncRNA